CCUGAGGCAAAGGCAGGGGUGUUCUGUCAGUCAGGAAGUGUGCCAACCCCGGCAGAGCACCUUUGACACCCACGACCUAUGUAUCACCAAGUCAGUUUUUGCCAAAGGAAACAGAAGGACCACCCACCCAGGAUGGGACUAGGAGGCAGAACUGUAACUUCUCCCCAGUAACUGAAUGCCUGGGGUUUGCAGAGCAGUACGUAGAGGAGGUUGCACACGCCCACCCGCCCAAGGAACACCAAGGAAACUUCUACGUCAGAAACAUCUUUAGAGCGGAGGAAGGAUUGGAGGCUGAGGCUGUUGCAAGCAUGCCUGAAGCCCCGGGUUCCAUCCCCAGCACCACGCAAAAUCCUGGAAUCCCAGCCCUCUGGAGGUAGAUGCAAAAAAACCAGAAGUUCGAGGCCAGCCUGGGCUAGCUAACCUUCCUGCCCUGAGAAGAUCCUUCCCUUUGCCCGGGCAUCCUGCCCUAGCCCUCCUGCCUCCACACACACUACCAUCUACGCUGUCCGGUCCCAUCUGUCCCAGGUCUCCCUCUGAACCAACUCUGGUUAGUCUAACCAGCCAGCUUGCCUGGGAGACCCUCCGAGCACUGGGAUUACAGGCAGCCUUUAUAACUGCCUAGAUGUCAGAAAGCUUGAAUAUCACAACAACUGCCUUUUGUGUAGUCACCCGAAAAGCCCAUGGUAACUGUCAACAAAGACAACGGUCCUCUGAGCUCCUCUGAUACCUGCUUGUUGUUCAGCAUGACCUCUUUAUCCCUUAACUUAAUGUAAAUGGGAAAUGAAGGACACGUUCUGUGCUCAGGACUGCCUCGAGCCAAAGUUUCUGCAGCUAACCAAGGGCGGAGGUGUCCCACGGUAGCCGCUACAACAAACUAUCUGAACAAACAGCAUACAGAAGAAAGGGCUAAUCUUGGUUUAGUUUUGGUCCAGGGUCGCCAGGUUCCAUUACCUACGCCUGAGGUGAAGCCGACAUCCAGGUAGUGCGCAUGUGCAGAGGGGAAAGAUUUUAGUGCGUGCAGCUGGCAUGCAAGAGGAGGAGAAAGAAGGGCCGAGGCAUAGCCUUCAAAGACGUCCUCUAGUGACCUCACUCACCAGUGAGGCUUCUCUUUCCUUGAUUUGCCACUUUUCCAUCUUCCGUUUUGAAUCCGUCGGUGGAACCAGCUCCACUCAACCACCUGUGGCAUCACCUGCACAGGCCACACAGGGGUGUGAUGUCGUGACCUCAGUGUCUCCAGUUCCGAUCAAGCUGACAAGAAUAACCAUCACAGACCCUCCCCACCUGUUCCCACCUGCCUGUUCCACCCCUAUGAACAGGGUAGCCUUCAUUUCACGCUGAACUGAGAGCUAUGGAAAUAACUGCCGAUCGGUUUUCACUGCAGGCCAGUUUCCCCAAACGAUGUCCGUUCCCCCAUCCUGCUCCCAUAGCUCCUCCUAAUUCUAUGGGCAAGCUCUGUGCUGCUAUGUCUUUUAAGAGUGAACUGAGGGAUUUUAUGUCACAUCAGUUCUGUGAUCUCUGCUGCAAUAGUAAGCUAUCUAAAACGCUGAGCCAGUUCACGCUUUAAGUUAUCUGUGCUCUGUUUCAUUUUAUUCUCUUGUCUGUAUAAACAGCCCCUGGUUCUGUAUUAGAUAGUAAGACUCCUUAGAUAUGAUUAUAACUUGCUCAAUUCAGGUUAUAAAAUUUAGUUGAAACUUUCUCUCCUGAGAAAUCAGGAAAUUGGGCAGAGGAAGGAGUUUCCUAAGAAAUUACAUAUAUAUGUCUAUCUGUCUAUCUAUCUAUCUAUCUAUCUAUCUAUCUGUGUUCACAUGCACACACACACACACACACAUACACACACACACUUUGAAUUUCACCUUUCUAGCACACCCUUUAGAGUCAGUGUGAAGGACUAGUGUGUCCUGUCACCCCUAGGUUCACAUGCUGAUACCUAACACCAUUGCUAGAGUUCUAGGAGGCCGGACCUUUGGAGGGUGAUUAAGAUCCCAGGAAUGGCAUCUUUAUGAGUGUAACCAGUGAUCUUAUUAAAGACUCCAGAAAACACUCUUGUCUCCUCUACCAUUCGAGGCUGUGGUGAGAAGCCAUCAAACCACAGCUCUGAAGAUGGGCCUCAUCAGGAUCUACGCGCUCUGGCACAGCUGGCAUUGGGUCUGCAGCCUCCGGAACUGUGAGAAAGAAAUGUGUUAUUUAUAAACUACUUGGUUUGCAGGACUUUGUUAUAGCAGCCCAAACUCAUGAGGGCCUGAGGUUUACUGGGGGAUUUAGAGUCCUGAAAACAGAAGUCCGGAGACCCGUGCUAUGCGCUCCCAGAUCCUCAGUAAAUAUUUUAUGAAGGUUGCUUUUAGUCACCGAGAAAGGGAAGACAGACAAGUGGACUUCCAGCUGGGCCGAGGGCUACCCAAACAGUGAAGAGAAGCCCUUUGAGUCUUCUGGGUCACCACUGGUCACAUGCCUCUGCUCACUGGGCUACUCCACUGCUCUGGCUGCGGUUUUCUCAUUUCUCUUGGGAGUUACUCUGCUUGCUUUAGGUCAGUUUUUCUUCUGCUGAACCAUUUGGCCUGUGUUAGCUGAGCUAUCCUUGAUCUCCAAAUGAGCUGUGGUAUGUGUUUGGUAUCACUGCAAGUGGAAGUCCACCAUGGAUAGUUCCUCAUCAUUUAGUGGCUGUGUAUCAAGUCAAUGUUCUGUCUAUAUGGGUGUUUUUGUUCAAAUGCUUUCAAAAGCCCAAUGUCCAAUCUGUUUUCUGAGACCAAUGACAAUCUCUUAACUGUGAGCCCUUGUAAAACUAAAGAAAAAAGUUACAUACUUCCAGUACAUCAUAGCAUGAAGUAAACAUUUUUGUUUUGUUUGUUUGUUUUGUUUUGUUUUGUUUUU